CUAGCAUAUCAAUAAGCGGAGGAAAAGAAACCAACAGGGAUUGCCCUAGUAACGGCGAGUGAAGCGGCAACAGCUCAAAUUUGAAAUCUGGCUCUUUCAGAGUCCGAGUUGUAAUUUGCAGAGGGCGCUUUGGCGUUGGCAGCGGUCCAAGUUCUUUGGAACAGGACGUCACAGAGGGUGAGAAUCCCGUACGUGGUCGCUAGACUUCGCCGUGUAAAGCCCCUUCGACGAGUCGAGUUGUUUGGGAAUGCAGCUCUAAAUGGGAGGUAAAUUUCUUCUAAAGCUAAAUACUGGCCAGAGACCGAUAGCGCACAAGUAGAGUGAUCGAAAGAUGAAAAGCACUUUGGAAAGAGAGUCAAAUAGCACGUGAAAUUGUUGAAAGGGAAGCGCUUGCAGCCAGACUUGCCUGUAGUUGCUUAUCCAGACUUUUGUCUGGUGCACUCUUCUAUAGGCAGGCCAGCAUCAGUUUGGGCGGUUGGAUAAAGGUCUCUAUCACGUACCUCUCUUCGGGGAGGCCUUAUAGGGGAGACGACAUACAACCAGCCUGGACUGAGGUCCGCGCAUCUGCUAGGAUGCUGGCGUAAUGGCUGUAAGCGGCCCGUCUUGAAACACGGACCAAGGAGUCUAACAUCUAUGCGAGUGUUUGGGUGUCAAGCCCAUACGCGUAAUGAAAGUGAACGGAGGUGGGAACCUUUUAGGUGCACCAUCGACCGAUCCUGAUGUCUUCGGAUGGAUUUGAGUAAGAGCAUGGCUGUUGGGACCCGAAAGAUGGUGAACUAUGCUUGAAUAGGGUGAAGCCAGAGGAAACUCUGGUGGAGGCUCGCAGCGGUUCUGACGUGCAAAUCGAUCGUCAAAUUUGGGCAUAGGGGCGAAAGACUAAUCGAUCUAUCUUUGGCC
rnacentral:rRNA from 1 species